rnacentral:rRNA from 1 species
UGGGGAAUUUUGGACAAUGGGCGCAAGCCUGAUCCAGCCAUGCCGCGUGAGUGAAGAAGGCCUUCGGGUUGUAAAGCUCUUUCGGACGGGAAGAAAUGGCGGGCUCUAACAUAGCCUGUCGAUGACGGUACCGUAAGAAGAAGCACCGGCUAACUACGUGCCAGCAGCCGCGGUAAUACGAAGGGUGCAAGCGUUACUCGGAAUUACUGGGCGUAAAGCGUGCGUAGGUGGUUGUUUAAGUCUGAUGUGAAAGCCCUGGGCUCAACCUGGGAAUGGCAUUGGAAACUGGGCAGCUAGAGUGCGGUAGAGGGUAGUGGAAUUCCCGGUGUAGCAGUGAAAUGCGUAGAGAUCGGGAGGAACAUCUGUGGCGAAGGCGACUGCCUGGACCAGCACUGACACUGAGGCACGAAAGCGUGGGGAGCAAACA